GCAAGAAUUUUGCUGGAAGUCUGUUUAGGAGAUCCAUGUGGUCAUGUUGUGUUAGAUUUUGGCCAGUUUCCUAGAAAUCUAUCACAUGUAGAUUUUAAACCUCAGCCAUCCCUGGGUAUGUCUGGUGCAUGUACAAAAGAGAAAUGCUUCUGUCUUCAGCAGCAUUGAAUUUUUUACUUAUACAUUGUAAAACUUUAUGAAGCAGAGCUGUAGUACAACCCUGCAAGUGCACAGCCCAUUGGUACUGUUGUAAUCAUUCAAUUGAGAGGCCUGUAUGGGCAUUCAAUAGGUAAUGGACUGGAUCAGUUCAGCUUGACUGUUGGGAUUUUAUUGUUCUCCCCACCUUGCUGACAGCUGCUUAUUAGUGUGCAGAGCUUUGGGGAAGCCAGGAAAUGAUCUCUCCACUCUUUCCCUCAUUGUGUGGAUCAGUAUUUUAGUGGAUAGUGGAGGUCUUUACCCAACCUCUGAGGAGGAUCACAGAACUGACUGGGAAUGAUUCAAGGCCUGGAGGGACGUGUAUGGGGCCUGAAAAGAUAAUUACUCCACGGACUUUCCUGUUAUCCCCCAGUUUUAUACCAAGUUUAAUGUACUCCCAUGUUAAUUCCCCUUGGUUUGUAUUGUUCAGGGCUUGCCUGGACUUGCCCUCAUGUUUUUCCCGCCAAAAGUUGUUUACUCCCUUGUUCUCCUCUGGUUUUCCCGCUCAUCUCUCACUGAUUGGCUGAUGGAUGCCGCAGUGCAGAGUGAGCUCCCAUUGGUCCUUUCCCCUGGAUACUCCAAAGUUCCACCCAUCUUUCUCCUAUUCCCCAAUCCCAUUCUGCCCUGAGUUGUCAAUCCCAUGCUCCGCCCCAGUUGUGGAACCUCCCCUUGCCCAAACCUUAUAUAAGUCCUUGUUUCCCCCAAUAAACUGGCCAUUGCACCCUGACCUUCUACUGUGUCAGAACCCUCUGUGCAGUGUCUCGUCCCUAUUCCUUUUACCCUCGGACCGUGGCGAUCCUCCAUUGCCCUCCCUGCUCUGUGAAGUUCCAAUUCUCGGGAUUUUGCAGGUUCUGUCUCCCAGACCAAAGGUGUUGGAAAGCCCAUCCUCUCACUUUGAUUAAUGCUGAUAGGAUUUGUGACUGUAGAGCACCAUGCAGUGAGUUGAGAUUCUAUGCCAAUGUGAUUUUUUUAUUCUUUCUUUUGUUGUUCUAUAUAUUAUCUUUCAUAAGCAGAAAACAGAAUUCAUUCUGCAUAGUUGAAGGAAUCAACAUCAGCAGGGGGGAAGAAGGUGUCUUCAUCAAAUUAAAGUCAUUUACUGUCACAUGCAUAUAUAACCACUGCUCUGCACCAUGAAAUAUGUUAAUGGAUGCAUAGUCUGUCAGCUCUAGGCCAUCAAAUUAAAUCAGGCCCAAGCUGGCAAAGAUCAACAGUCUUUAUUCUCUGUUGGUUGUACAGGACAUGGUGUGGAACUAAAUUAUCAAGUUCAUCCCUCUGUCUGCUGAGUGUGGUGCAGGCCACCGAUUUAAGAGCAUCAGGUUGGUUUACUUUCUGCACACGUCUUAAUUGAGAUGAAAAGCUUAAAGUCUGAUCCCAAACCAAAUGAGAUCUCUUGAAGGAUGAUUUCUUUCAUAGACUUUGAAGCAGCUGCAAGAAAUGGGUGCAAUCUGAGUAACCCUGUGAGUUGUAUCCAGAGGGUGGCUCAGUCCUGAUAUUAAAGGGUGCUGAUGUUGAAAACCUUUCAUGUUUUUCUGUCAAAAACACUGAGGCACUUGAUAUGGAUGAUUGUACCAUACUGUUACAGAUUAGGAAUUCAGGGGAAUUUUUUUUCCCCUUCUCCACUCCAAGGGAAAGCUGAGUGAGCAGGGGGGGAAGGGAGGUCAUUAGCUUUACAAAGGAUGUACCCUGGCCCUGCUGAUGGGCCAUUUGGAGAUGCUGGGGAGAGAGGAGGGGCUGGCUCUGUUCUGGGGGGAGAGGGGCAGACUGCAUUGUUGGCUCUCGGAGUGAGACGGGGGUCUGCGUGCACGCGGGCAUUUGGGGAGGGGGACUGGAGGUCUGGUUUUUCUGGCUGCUCAUCCUGGUCAGCUCGACUUCUCAUCCUGCUGGCUUCGACCUGGCUGGCUGUCCCGCUCCCCAAAUCUGCUGUGUUUCAUCGAAGAAUUGUGUUGCCCACAGGAGAGAAGGGAGGAGUUUUGAGACGCUGUCACCUGGGAUAGCGGCUGGGACCGCUCCCGCCGGACCCCUCUCCCCGCGUGGCGACCGCCGGAGCCCAAUAGCGCCCCCUGCUGACCACGACUGGGUACUGCAGGUUCUACACCUUUCAGCGAUCUAACAGUGCCCCCUGCAGGCAAGGCUGGGGUACAGCAAGCCCAACACCUCUAGCGAUCCAACAGCGCCACCUGCAGGCAACAAUUAGGACUGUGCUAAAGGACGGAGAAGUAUUCCUUCAGACCUUCUUUGUUUUCCUAGGACUACUGUCUAAUUUUUUUUGUGUUCUGUUACUGUUUUUUUGCCAACAUACAUAUACCUUUUAAUCAAGGGUUGUUAUUUCUUCUGUUUUUCCACAUUUUCCUCGAGUAAAGCCCCUUAAUUUUGAAUUUACAAUUGCUGAGAGAGAGGAGUUUGGUCUACCUCAUAACUCAUCCUCUUUAGCAAACAUUCCAGUCUCAUCAGACUGAGACACAUGCUCAAAGCCCUGCUCUACUGAUAGUAAGCUUUUGUCCAGUGGUAUGGUUUUUGGUUUUUUUUCUUCAUUAGUAAUAAGAUACUUACCCUUGAAACAAAACAUUAUUCAAGAAUAAUUAAAAAGUUUUUGCUCUAGGCAUGUGUUCAAUUAAAAGUAAUUUAUCAUUUCUUGCUAGAAAAUGAGGAAAUUCCAACCAAUUAUUAGACAUUUCAUAAGUUCUUACUUUAUUGUACUCCCCUUAAAUUGUCUUUACAUGCAGAAAAGUAAAUUGAAGCUAAAAAAUAUCCCAAAGCCUUUUCAUUUCAAAGACUGGUCUUCCAUGUCGGUUGUGAUGUGCUGCUGUUAUUCAAGAGGUAGAUUAGGCAAUCAUCUUAAUAAAGUGUGAAUAAGAUGAAUGCAGAAAUCUCACAUGCUGCUGGGGCAUACUUCACAAAGCAAAGUAUUUGCUGUUACUAUUAAGUAGGAUAUGAGUCAAUAGAGUACCUGAACAGAAGGUGCUGUAUAUCAUUGUUAGAAAAUUUGGAGUAAUUGCCUUUAUUAUUAAAAUGGAUGGCUUCCUCUAUACCUAAAUGCUCACUUCUUCUUUGCCUUUCUCAUUCCCAGUGGUAAAUGCAAUCUGAUUUAUCGUUGUAUACAAACACUGCAGAAUUACAUGGUCAUGCAGGAUAUAUUUACUGUGAAAGGGUGUAAAUGAUAGUAAAGGAGGAGGGAAUUUGU